rnacentral:rRNA from 1 species
GAUGAACGCUGGCGGCGUGCCUAAUACAUGCAAGUCGAGCGAACAGACGAGGAGCUUGCUCCUCUGACGUUAGCGGCGGACGGGUGAGUAACACGUGGAUAACCUACCUAUAAGACUGGGAUAACUUCGGGAAACCGGAGCUAAUACCGGAUAAUAUAUUGAACCGCAUGGUUCAAUAGUGAAAGACGGUUUUGCUGUCACUUAUAGAUGGAUCCGCGCCGCAUUAGCUAGUUGGUAAGGUAACGGCUUACCAAGGCGACGAUGCGUAGCCGACCUGGGAGGGUGAUCGGCCACACUGGAACUGAGACACGGUCCAGACUCCUACGGGAGGCAGCAGUAGGGAAUCGUCCGCAAUGGGCGAAAGCCUGACGGAGCAACGCCGCGUGAGUGAUGAAGGUCUUCGGAUCGUAAAACUCUGUUAUUAGGGAAGAACAAAUGUGUAAGUAACUAUGCACGUCUUGACGGUACCUAAUCAGAAAGCCACGGCUAACUACGUG